CGUCGAGGUGACGCGCCAACUUAAUCGCAUCUGACGUCACGUCUGGUCGUCUUGGAUCGCUGGCUGCGAUUGGCCAGGCUUGCCUGGGGGAUCCCCUGCUAAUUGGGUGUCCAGGUUGCCUGUUCUGACUACCUGGAGUCGGAGCCCCGGCGCUGUGGGGGGUAGUAGUGGAGAGUCGGGAGAGUAGGGGAGAGUCUCUUGCUGCGCUGGUGGUCCUCAGAGAGGAGGACCCCCGCCUCACAUGUGUGGCCAAGUAAGGACUUCAUCCCCCGACGGCUGCAGAAGCUUGUGGAGCUGAGUGUGUGCGUGUGAGGGAAGACGCAGUAGGUGGAGUCACUGGAGAGCUUCUCCUCAAAACUCAGUUUAGCGCUGUUGUGGAGCAGAUGGAAUGGAGGAGGACCUUUUUCUUCGUCCUUUCGCCUUAAACUUGACAUUACAGAGUCGACCCUGGGCUUUCGGAGUUGUACUGGAUUGUGUGGAGCAUCUUAAGUUCCACACCAAGCCUAAGGCUGAAACGCCUUUGGUGGGCAUAGUAUUAUAGAGAAUUGAACUUCAAGGUCUUGCCCACGCCAUGCCCGCUUGUGAUCCCAGAGGAACAUAUUCCGUUCCACUGGGGUUCGCCAGAGGGGCAGGGUUGUGCCUUUGUAUAGGACGUGGAGAGGCACUCUUGGUUGGCGUGGUAUCUCCUUUCAAAGGACCGUAGAAGAGUAGAACUGGCCUUGACCUAAAUUAAAAGAGACAUCGCCACUCUCGUUCUCCGGCUCUGUUUGAGCUCCCUUCAUGGUCACAAGAUGACUGCAGCAACUCCAGCUAUCACAAACUCACACCAACGCCCAGAGACUUCUUGGAAUGUUGGCGGUUUGGUCCAGUUUGGAAGAUCCUGGAGGAUUAAAGUGAACUACUGCAAACUCCACCAAGUAAUAACCCAAUUGCAGCUGCUGUGCCAGAUGUAUCUUUGCUAGAACAGAUCAACACAGCCUCAGAUCUGAAGGCCAGAAGUUCCAGACCAAGGUCCAGCAGGAUCAGUUUCUGGGCAUCAAUCAGCACCACUAUCCCACAUCUUGGAGAGUGUUUGAUCUACCAGCAUGGAAUCUAUAUAACGUUGUCUCAAACCAAGGAACCCUUUUCACAGCAAAGGAGAUGUGGAAGUGGAUACAUGAUCAUAGGAUCUGCUGGCCUUUUCAAAUACCACACCACCCAGAAGCUGCCUGUCUAGUCGAGUGAUAGAAUGACCUUGUAAAAGCACAAAUGAGAUCCUAGCUUGGAAACAAUAAGCUGUAAGGAUGGAGUGCCAAGAGACAAGCAGUUAAGAAAAGGAGUUACCAUCCUGGCAGGAGUAAUUGACCCUGAAGAGAAAGCAGCAGCAGCAUUUACUGGGUACUGACUCACUGCUUGGGAGUUUCUUCACCAUUACUCUCUCUGAACCCUGAUGUCUUAGAGAUUCAGCCAAAGGAACGUCUGUCCUCGCAUAUUAUCUUUAUUACUGAACAGGCAGUGUCUGCCCUGGACCUUGUCUAGGAAAACUGGAUAAGAGGUGAGAUUCCUGAGGCCUUACCCUCAGGGUGAUGUUCUACCCUUCCAAGACUUUCCUUGCACUCGUUGUCCCUGUGCUUGAUUGCCUCACAUUCUUCAGCAGUUUUCUUCUUCUUCUGUUCACUUCCAGCUCCAUCUAUUCAUGGAACAGUUACUGAGCCUCUACCAUGAGAAGGCACAUACUGGAGAGACACUGUAUUAGCCAUGGUUCUCAGAGAAAUAGAAUCAAUAGAUAUAGGGUGUAUAUGUGACACAAGAUAGAUAUGUAUAUAUAUAUAUAUAUAUAUAUAGCUACACCCCCGCCUCAUAGGGUCAAUCAAUCUAUCUUUCCAUCUUUCUAUCUAUCUA